GCCCCUUCAGUCCCAGGACUAAAAGGGGUCUUUAGUCCCAGGUGAAUGACCUGGGAUGAAAAGACCCCUUUUGUCUCAAAUAGUUAGUCAUGGUUAGAUUUUCAGGAUGCAUGGAUUAAAAAGCGUAUUUUCCACCGGUGGUGCGUGACAGUAUGGAAAAGGUUUGGGCAGUUGGCGGGUAAAGGCUGAAUAGAUUAAUGAGAACGAUUUGACUACGCAUACGGUGGCCUCCCUUUUCU
rnacentral:lncRNA from 1 species